AAGAGAAGCUGGGGACCCAGGCUCAGGAGAGGACAGGGGCGCAGGCAGGCCCAGCAACUGGGGACACAGCCGUCCCUGGAGGGUCCAUCGCCAUACUGCUGCCAGCAGCUCUGGAGGGACCAGUUCUAAUUGCAAAUAGACAAGUACAGCAAACACAGCCCAAUGAGGAUGCAGCAACCCUCAGGCGAGCCUGGGCCCCACCAAGCCAGCAGUGAGGCCUGCAGAAACACUGGCUGCAGGAGGACCCAUGGGACGGAGACGAAGGAGAUGGUGUGGAUACGACGGCAGUGGAGUGGGGCCUCUGGGAGGCUGUGUGUUCUUCGGUCACAUCCUCUCACAACUGCCGGUGGCUUCUUACUCAGUUACAGAGAGAGACUCGUCAGCGUUGCCUCUGCAUAAAGCUACACGGGACACCACAGCCUCCUCUCCUUCCUUGUGCCCACCUGUGAGGAGUCCCGGGGUCUUGUCUUGGUUCACCCAGAGGCUUCAGAGAUGGACGUGAGGCCAUGGCUUGAGGUCAGUCUUGAAAACGGCCAAGUGCAGCCGGAAGUUGUUUCUUCAGGCAUUUCUCAAUGUUAUCACUUCGCUGUUGGUGUUUGAGAAGCCUAGCUUCUUUCUAAUCCUGCAAGUUCCUGAAUUUGUUAACUUUCCAUUCCCUUUCAUCCCCGCUUGUGAACCAGAUGAUUAUUUUUUGAGCUCAUCUUUUUCUUGUAAUAUCUUUCCCACAGAAUCCAACAGCAGCCAACACACGCUACUAGCCAGUUUCCAACUACUUCCCCUAGAGUUACGGUUUCCUUUGGUGUAAGAUCGGCCUCCCACAGAUUUGCAGGUGACAGUUUCACUAAAUGACUCACACUCCCUCCAGGAGGGACCGUCUUCCUGCCUCUGAUGAUAGUUUCCUGGCUGCCCUCCUGCAGGCCCUUCUGCCAGCAGGUUACAUGGCCGGGGUCGCUGGGGACUGUCAGGGGCUCUGCCCCACCCCUAAGCCAGACUUACAGAGCAGAGGGAAGAGCCCUCUGGAAGGAAGGCCACGCUCAGGCAGCGACAUGCUCCAGCCCAGAAGGUGCGCGGUCACCCCCACCUGCAGCACGCUGUGUGAGCAAGCAGGGGGCUGGCAGUGCCCUUGCUGCAUAUGUUUGGAAGGGGCACAAUGUGGAAAUAUUUGGCAGAAAACACUAAUGACUACUACAGAGGACCAGCGAGUCAGGAGGGUGUUCAGGGACUCGAGGGGGGACAAAUGCAGUAUGAGCCUGCUUGCCAUGGCAUCCAGGGAGGGGACAAGCCAAGGUGGGCUUGCCCAGGUGGUCAGGAGAGAACACAUCCUGUUUUCUGGCCCGGCCCCUGCGCUGCUAUUGCUGACUGUGCACGGUGGCAUCUGUGGCAGUGACUCAGCUCUCUGGGCUUGAGUGAACCUUGGCAUACACCUGGUCGUGUACCUGAAAGUCUACAGUUCCCUCCGCUGCCCCCUGAGGGUCCUAAUUCUGGGCACAGGGCCUGGAUUUUUGCUCCGGCUUGACUUGGGGCCCGAGAAGCGCUGACUCAUCACGGCUCCCCAUGCUGCCUUUGCAAAUGGUCUGGGAGGCUUUGGAGGAGAGCUGGGCCAGCCCUGGAGGGUGUCAUCAACACGAUCACAUUGCUGCUGAAUUGAAAGCUCCCCGAUGGUUCCUGGUCCUGAUCAUCACCCCCACCCGCCCCACAGGCUCCUCUGAGUCAUCAGCACUGGGAUGGUUUCCUUGCAUGUCAUAUCAUUUGGAGGCAUCAAUUUAUCAUUUCCCCUACUUGGUAUUCUAGAGACCUUCAUUUUUCAUUUCAUACUGCAGUUUCUA